UACGUAGGGCGCAAGCGUUGUCCGGAAUUAUUGGGCGUAAAGAGCUCGUAGGCGGUCUGUCGCGUCCGUUGUGAAAACUCGAGGCUCAACCUCGGGCUUGCAGUGGAUACGGGCAGGCUAGAGUUCGGCAGGGGAGACUGGAAUUCCUGGUGUAGCGGUGAAAUGCGCAGAUAUCAGGAGGAACACCGGUGGCGAAGGCGGGUCUCUGGGCCGAUACUGACGCUGAGGAGCGAAAGCGUGGGGAGCGAACAGG
rnacentral:rRNA from 1 species